UACGGAAGGCAGCAGGGGGAAUAUUGCACAAUGGGCGCAAGCCUGAUGCAGCCAUGCCGCGUGUAUGAAGAAGGCCUUCGGGUUGUAAAGUACUUUCAGUCGUGAGGAAGGUGUUAAGGUUAAUAACCUUAGCAAUUGACGUUAGCGACAGAAGAAGCACCGGCUAACUCCGUGCCAGCAGCCGCGGUAAUACGGAGGGUGCGAGCGUUAAUCGGAAUUACUGGGCGUAAAGGGCACGCAGGCGGUUAAUUAAGUUGGAUGUGAAAUCCCCGGGCUUAACCUGGGAAUGGCAUUCAAGACUGGUUAGCUAGAGUCUUGUAGAGGGGGUUAGAAUUCCAUGUGUAGCGGUGAAAUGCGUAGAGAUGUGGAGGAAUACCGGUGGCGAAGGCGGCCCCUGGACAAAGCUGACGCCCAUGUGCGAAAGCGUGGGGAGCAAACAGGGAUUAGAUACC
rnacentral:rRNA from 1 species